rnacentral:rRNA from 1 species
AUUGAACGCUGGCGGCAGGCCUAACACAUGCAAGUCGAGCGGAUGAAGGGAGCUUGCUCCUGGAUUCAGCGGCGGACGGGUGAGUAAUGCCUAGGAAUCUGCCUGGUAGUGGGGGAUAACGUCCGGAAACGGGCGCUAACACCGCAUACGUCCUGAGGGAGAAAGUGGGGGAUCUUCGGACCUCACGCUAUCAGAUGAGCCUAGGUCGGAUUAGCUAGUUGGUGGGGUAAAGGCCUACCAAGGCGACGAUCCGUAACUGGUCUGAGAGGAUGAUCAGUCACACUGGAACUGAGACACGGUCCAGACUCCUACGGGAGGCAGCAGUGGGGAAUAUUGGACAAUGGGCGAAAGCCUGAUCCAGCCAUGCCGCGUGUGUGAAGAAGGUCUUCGGAUUGUAAAGCACUUUAAGUUGGGAGGAAGGGAAGUAAGUUAAUACCUUGCUGUUUUGACGUUACCAACAGAAUAAGCACCGGCUAACUUCGUG